UCUGUUCCUAGGUGCAUUGCAGGUGUGGUGGCUGUGUCUCCUGCACAUCAGUAGAUAGCAGAGAGGAGAGAGGCUAUGUCUAUGCUCAAUGCUCUGACCUAUGAACAUCUAAAUGAUCAGUUCCCUCAGUGU